rnacentral:rRNA from 1 species
CAAAGGGUAGAGGGCAUAUAGUGCAGUCGAGCGGACAGAAGGGGCUUGUUCUGGGAUGUUAGCGGCGGACGGGUGAGUAGCACGUGUGUCACCUGGCUGUAGACUGGGAUAACUCCGGAAAACCGCAGCUAAUACCGGAUAGUUCCUUGAACCGCAUGGUUCAAGGAUGAAAGACGGUUUCGGCUGUCACUUACAGAUGGACCCGCGGCGCAUUAGCUAGUUGGUGGGGUAAUGGCUCAUCAAGGCGACGAUGCGUAGCCGACCUGAGAGGGUGAUCGGCCACACUGGAACUGAAACAAGGCCCAGACUCAUACGGGAGGCAGCAGUAGGGAAUCUUCCGCAUUGGACGAAAGUCUGACGGAGCAACGCCGCGUGAGUGAUGAAGGUUUUCGGAUCGUAAAGCUCUGUUGUUAGGGAAGAACAAGUGCGAGAGUAACUGCUCGCACCUUGACGGUACCUAACCAGAAAGCCACGUCUAACUACGUGCCAGCAGCCGCGGUAAUACGUAGGUGGCAAGCGUUGUCCGGAAUUAUUGGGCGUAAAGGCUCGCAGGCGGUUUCUUAAGUCUGAUGUGAAAGCCCCCCGGCUCAACCGGGGAGGGUCAUUGGAAACUGGGGAAACUUGAGUGCAGAAGAGGAGAGUGGAAUUCCACGUGUAGCGGUGAAAUGCGUAGAGAUGUGGAGGAACACCAGUGGUCGAAGGCGACUCUCUGGUCUGUAACUGACGCUGAGGAGCGAAAGCGUGGGGAGCGAACAGGAUUAGAUACCCUGGUAGUCAACGCCGUAAACGAUGAGUGCUAAGUGUUAGGGUGUUUACGCUCCUUAGUGCUGCAGCUAACGUAUUAAGCACUCGCCUGGGGGAGUACUGUCGCAAGUACUGAAACUCAAACGGAAUUGACGCGGGCCCGCACCAGCGUUGGAGUCAUGUGAUUACAUUCGAGCAACUGCGAAGCACCUAUCAGGGUCUUGAACUUCCUCUGACAAACCUUAGAGAUGAGGGCUGUCACUUCGGGAACGAGGU